rnacentral:rRNA from 1 species
GAUGAACGCUGGCGGCGUGCCUAACACAUGCAAGUCGAGCGGAGAAACGACGCGUUUUCUUGUAUGCAGCGACGGGCGGGUGAGUGAUGAAUAGGAAGCUAACCUGCUGAUGGGAAUGACGUCCGUAAGGGAGCGCGAAGACCGCAUCCGUCAAGAUGUAGAAACGGAGGGAUCAUCGGACAUAGAGCGAUCAGAUGUCCCUAGGAGAGAUUACCGCGUCGCAUUAGCUAGUUGGUACGGUGACGGCGUACCAAGGCGACGAUGCGUAGCUGACCUGAGAGGAUGAUCGGCCACACUGGAACUGAGACACGGUCCAGACUCCUACGGGAGGCAGCAGUGGGGAAUAUUCGACAAUGGGCGAAAGCCUGAUCCAGCCAUGCCGCGUGUGUGAAGAAGGUCUUCGGAUCGUAAAGCACUUUUAGUUGGGAGGAAGGGCUGUAUGUUAAUACCUUGCUGUUUUGACGUUACCUACAGAAUAAGCCCCGGCUAACUACGUG